UACGUAGGGGGCAAGCGUUGUCCGGAAUCAUUGGGCGUAAAGCGCGUGUAGGCGGCUUGGUAAGUCCGUUCUGAAAGCCCGGGGCUCAACCCCGGGAGGCGGAUGGAUACUGUCAAGCUUGAGUCCGGAAGAGGCGAGUGGAAUUCCCGGUGUAGCGGUGAAAUGCGCAGAUAUCGGGAGGAACACCGGUGGCGAAGGCGGGACUCUGGGCCGAUACUGACGCUGAGGAGCGAAAGCGUGGGGAGCGAACAGG
rnacentral:rRNA from 1 species